GGCGGCGUGCCUAACACAUGCAAGUCGAACGAGAAAGUGGAGCAAUCCAUGAGUAAAGUGGCGACCGGGUGAGUAACACGUGACUAACCUGCCUUCGAGUGGGGGAUAACCUCGGGAAACCGGGGCUAAUACCGCAUAAUGCCUACGGGUUAAAGGAGCAAUUCGCUUGAAGAGGGGGUCGCGGCUGAUUAGCUAGUUGGCGGGGUAACGGCCCACCAAGGCGAUGAUCGGUAGCCGGCCUGAGAGGGCGCACGGCCACACUGGAACUGAAACACGGUCCAGACUCCUACGGGAGGCAGCAGUGGGGAAUUUUGCGCAAUGGGGGAAACCCUGACGCAGCAACGCCGCGUGGAGGAUGAAGUCCUUUGGGACGUAAACUCCUUUCGACCGGGACGAUAAUGACGGUACCGGUGGAAGAAGCCCCGGCUAACUUCGUGCCAGCAGCCGCGGUAAUACGAGGGGGGCAAGCGUUGUUCGGAAUUAUUGGGCGUAAAGGGCGCGUAGGCGGUGCGGUAAGUCACCUGUGAAACCUCUGGGCUUAACUCAGAGCCUGCAGGCGAAACUGCCGUGCUG
rnacentral:rRNA from 1 species